CUUGUAACAAAUAAAUUCAAUUGGAAUUUUAUAAACAGUCAUACUUGUAGCAAUAAGCCUCCCAUCAAUAUGUUUUAAAACAAACAGGGAGAUUUAGAAAUGUGUUGCCAAAGGUAAGUGGGGCACAGCUCUAAAAAUUGAAACCAAGGAAUGUUCCUGCUAAUUCCAUUGGUUGCCAUUGUUGACUUCCACUUUUAGAAUAAUGCCCCACUUUUCUGACUAGCAUUUUUAUAAAUAUCUUCCAGUGUAUUCAGCUCCAGGAAUAUUGACUGCGCAAACUCUUUAAAUAUUUUUCACGUAAAUGAAUGUAUAACACACAAAGGGAAUAUAGAAAAAUAAAUAGAAAUAAAACACAAGAGCCUUUAUUAUUUUAAAUACAAAAUCUUUGUUUGUUUUUAAUAGGUGAUGUGCAGGGUCAGUUGCCAGCAGCACCAAAGUCCUGCCAUUAUCGCAAUACAUACACACUACAAUGCACCAGUAUGGUAGGUAUGGAAUAGCACUGUGAGUGAAAGGUGUCAGGUCAGCCGUAUGGGCAGUGUGUAACAAUUACUUAAAUUGGAAUAAACUUGUUGGAAACUCCUCAAGCAGCAAAACAUGUUUGACUAGUGCAAGACAAGGUGCAGCAGACAGGCAGCAAGAUAUAAGAUGCAGUUGCCGAAUACUCACUACCAGUAAAUUCAUUGCCUCGGUUCCUUACUGCACCCCACUGCAAAAGCUAGAAUUGGGAAGAGUUAUGGCUCUGGUGCUUAUAGCUCGAAUUUUUAGUUUUAUUACUGGUCGAAUUCAUGACCCUCUCUACCCAUUUGGUAUAACAGAUUGGUGGUGCAUUUGUACUAAUAAAAGUGAUAACUUUUACUUUUGUGACUUGCAGCUAAAGAAAAAUAAAAUAAAAUUCAUUCUUUCCAUAUUAUACACUAUAAUCUGUCAAAGUUUCAAUGUCAAUGUUUCAAGCGUGGUAAAGUUAAGUAAAUCAAGGGUGUCAUAUUUUUGAAUCAAUCUAUGUACUAUCUAACAAUGAGACCAGCUAUAUUUUUGUAACAUCUUUUAAAACUCUGAUAUAUCAAGCGUUGAAACCUUUCAUUUUUAUUCUACAGCUUUUGUAUAGUGUUAAAUAUAAAUAUAUAUAGUCUUUGGUCUGAUUAUUUCAUGGAAAAGGGUACUAUGACCUAAAGAUUAAGGAGAACUAUCUAGCUGAAAAUGGUAAAGUUACAGAAGACGGAUUCAUUCUGUUUAUUGGAUAACUUCAGAGUUAUAUAGCUGCAGGCAUCCAAUUAACAGGCUACAUUAUCUUUAAUGUCAAUUCUCGCUAUUGUAUCAUGGUUGUUUUUUUAAACGAAAGAGGCCGGAUUAUACUCUGGAAAAAAGAAAGGGGUUUCCAAUGCAAAAUUUAAUUCUGCAGUUAAUCGAAUUGGCAGCCGUUCAAGAGAAUCAGUCACAGCAUACACCCACCUUCAUGUACCAGAAAAAUGGGCUCCCAAUAAGUAAAUCAGCAAGAUAAGUCCCCUUAUUCUGUAAAUCUGUAGCUUCCCUUAAUGCACAUUCUUUUAACCCUGAAACCACCAGUUUAUCUUGUCUCGAAAUGGAGAGACAAGCAAUGCUACUCUGGCAGCUAAAGAUUUAACGGAAGAUUAUUUGUUAAAGUAAACUAUGUUGAUGGCAAUAGUUGCAUCUGUUCUGGAAAUAAAGAGACAUGCACUAUCUUCCAAUGGGUUCCCAUGUCUUGAACAUCAGUCUGUACCGGUAUGGUAAUUUCUUAAUCUGAUGAGCUGAUAGAUGGAUUAUAUCUGUGAAAAUAUAUUUUAACUAAACAUAUCCAAUCAAUGUUUGUUUAGGCAUAAUAGAUACUACAGUGAAACAAGAAAGAGGGAGAUUGUUUAGUUACAACAGGAUAAGUGGGUAUUGGGAGGUUUGGAAUAGUAACAAGAAGGACAAGAUACAUUGAUGAGUAUUAUUUCUAAGGGUAUUCUAGUACUAGACACAAACGGACGGAUUAUAUUAACAUGGAUAUACACACCCUGGUUUGUUGUAAUAUCAACCAGUGAUGAUUAUGCUCCCACAGUGAAUACAACCCAGUCCGUAAUGUGCAGACAACAAUUCUACCUUUCAUGCAGCUCCUAUCAAAGUAAGGCAUCUGCUAAAACGAAAUUACCCUGCAUAAGCCACCCGUGGGUCAAGGUAUCAAUGCUGUUGUGACAACUGCACCAUUUACUGUGUGCUCUUUCUUUAAGAUCUGUUUCCAGGGACGGGUCAUGCAACCUAUUGCCCUCUAGGCAUUGUCGAACUGCAACUCCCAUCAAUGGUAGCAAACUGCGGUCUGACUUAGGGUGAUGGGAGUUCCACUGUAACAACUUUUAAGGCUGAGUGAUUGAUGUAAAUAUAUAUAUAUAUAUAUAUA